GACGAACGCUGGCGGCGUGCCUAACACAUGCAAGUGGAGCGACGAACCAGGCUUCGGCCUGGGGCAAAGCCGCGAACGGGUGAGUAACACGUGGGUAACCUGCCCCGAAGAUCGGGAUAACCCGAGGAAACUCGGGCUAAUACCGGAUGUCCUCUCCGGGCGAAAGCCCGUGGAGCAAAGGAAGCUUCGGCCUCCGCUUCGGGAGGGGCCCGCGGCCCAUUAGCUCGUUGGUGGGGUGAUGGCCUACCAAGGCGACGACGGGUAGCCGGCCUGAGAG
rnacentral:rRNA from 1 species